UGGGCUGUUAUAAAAAGGUAUUAACAUAA
rnacentral:piRNA from 1 species